GAUUGGAUUUUGAUGUUUAUCAAUGUAUAGGCUUUUGGAUUUCUUUUAGUUCAAUUUGGAUUUGACUUAUUUGGAUCUAGAGGUAAAGUUUUAUUUCACUCCUUGAUGGUUUCUAUCAAUCUAUACUUUGCUAUUGCUUGCUACUUCAUAUCACGUAAUUAAGAGUGAUUGCGUAAUUAGGUACAAACUGUAUAAGUGAGAGCCAUAUUACAUUAGGCAAAAUAACGUUGUCAUGAAAUUAAUUUUGUAGUGUUUAAGCUUUUGGAUCUAUGGUUUUAUUUUUAUGAAUGGAAGACACAAGUUUAAGCUCAUAUACACCCACAUCAUCAUUCCCCCUUGCUCCCUUGUUGAUUGUUUGAUGUUGAGGAUCAAAACAAAGGUUAAAAACCCUCCUAAAACAGCCUCUGCUACUGCAAAAUUCCGUCUUUCCCUCCCAUCUCUUGGUUUGCUUCAUUACUAGAAAUAGUUAAUGAUGUUGUAGGUUGUGGCUAGAAAACAAUGAUUUGAAGAGGUAAUAUAUCUCCACUGUGUUCUUGUUGUCAUGAUCUUUUUUUUUCCCCCCAAUUGUUGUAGUUGGCUAAUGUCUAAAUUUAAUGUUUUAGAGUGAUUUGGAGUAUCAAUUUUAGUUUGUGAUUACGAAGUCGAUAUGAAAUAGGUAGGCAAUAGACGACAAGAUAUUGUUCACUUUUUUAUUUUUUGCCUUUUGUCUUUAUAUUAAGUAUAAUUAAUUUGUUGCAAGCUAAAUGUCUUUAAAUUAAUGAGCAGAUGACAAAUCUGACUAAAGAGGAAUUUGUGCACAUUUUUCAUUGCCAAAACACUAGAUUCUCUCGGGGGAGCUCAAAAUAUAGAGGAGUGACCUUGCACAAAUGUGGUUUAUGGGAGGCUCAAAUGGGACAGUUCCUUGGGAAGAAGUAUAUGUAUCUUGGGUUAUUCAACAAUGAAGUAGAAGCUGCAAGGUCCUUGUGUUCUCUACUCCAGCAUCAUCAAGAUUUGUUAUUUUGAAUUUGGUUAGCUCAGUGAUAGCUUAUUAGAUUUUGUAUUCUCUGGACUGAUAAUCAGAUCAUAUAAGUGAACCAAACAACUCCUAAAACAAUUGUUCUUUCUCUUUCUGUUUUCUGCUUUUGGAAACACACUGUUUUGCAAAAGGAAAAACAACCCUCUGAUACUGUGGUUCAGUUUUUCAUAUUUAGCAUAGUCUGAAUCUGAUAAUAUGUCAUACACCCUCUGACACUUUGUGAGAUUUUACUAUAUUUUUUUAUGUUUUUGAUUUGAUGUUUCUUGUUUUAGGAUAGGGAUUGUUUGCUUGAAAUUUAUUCUAUAAUUGCUCUGUUUUGUUUUAUUAAGAUAUUCCCUGUUUUGCUAAAUUGUUCUAUUUAUAAUUAUGUAUAAUUAAUAACCUAACUUGGGCUCUGUUUGUUUUGGAAAAAAAUGUUUUCCGUAUUUUCAUAAUUACUUUACUUGCACAUAUAUAGAACUGUGAUAAUACGAGGAUGAUAAUAAUAGAAAGUAUUUUUUUUUUCUUUUCUAAAUUCCAUUGUGAGGCUUAAAAAAUAAAAUCACUAGAACGAGGCUCGUCUUUUUCAAAAUAAAAUGUACACUCUGCGAAUUUAAAUUCCUUUUGUAUCCUAAUAGAAAAUAACAACUUCUUCAGAAGUUGAUUGCCUCAGUUCGGAUUGUUCUCUGCUACUUGGGAACAGGAAGUUGAUAUAGUCUUGAUAUUAAUCCUGUUUUUGUUUUUGUUAUUUUGAUAUUUGGCCACUAUUCACUCUCUAUCAAGGUAUUUCUCGACCCUUCAAGUUUUAUUGAGUUUUUCUGUAGUUUGAUUCUUCAUCAUCAUCUUCUUCAUUUUUUUUUUUUUGCAGAUUUCUGUUACUUUGUUUAUCAACUUGAAGUUUGAAUAUGGGUUCUUCUCAUUUCAUUGCCAUAAAGUUGGCUGGUAAGAUCCAAUGAAGGAUGAGUGCAAUCAGG